GGUCGGCAGCGGGGAGAGCCACUGAGGGAUGAGGCCGCCACAGCCCGCUGGGACGCCUUUUCUGCUCUCGCGGCACCGAGCGCGCAGCGCCCAGGAGCCGGGCAGAGCCUGACGCCCUGUCGUCUCCCCUCGCGCACAGGCCCCCGCCAGUGACCCGAUCGGCCUGCUCCCCGCUGUAUGGAACGGCUGCAGAAGCAACCACUUACCUCCCCUGGGAGCGUCAGCUCCUCCCGAGGCUCCAGUGUACCUGGCUCACCCUCCAGCAUCGUGACCAAGAUGGACAAUCAGGUGCUGGGCUACAAGGACCUGGCUGCCAUCCCCAAGGACAAAGCCAUCCUGGACAUUGAGCGGCCUGACCUCAUGAUCUACGAGCCCCACUUUACCUAUUCUCUCCUGGAACACGUGGAGCUGCCCAGAAGCCGGGAGCGCUCGCUGUCACCCAAAUCCACAUCCCCCCCACCAUCCCCGGAGGUAUGGGCAGAGAGCCGUUCCCCUGGGACCGUCUCUCAGGCCUCAGCCCCAAGGACCGUGGGAACCCCGCGGACGAUGCUGCCCCAUUUCCACCACCCUGAGAGCGCCCGCCCAGAUUCCAACAUCUACAAGAAGCCGCCUAUCUACAAGCAGAGAGAGUCCAUGGGAGGCAGCCCUCAGAGCAAGCAUCUCAUUGAGGACCUCAUCAUUGAGUCUUCCAAGUUCCCUGCGGCCCAGCCCCCUGACCCCAACCAGCCAGCCAAGAUCGAGACUGACUACUGGCCGUGCCCCCCAUCGCUGGCUGUUGUGGAGACAGAGUGGAGGAAGCGGAAGGCAUCGCGGAGGGGAGCCGAGGAAGAGGAAGAGGAGGAAGAAGAUGACUCUGGGGAGGAGAUGAAGGCUUUCAGGGAGCGUGAGAGAGAGAUGCUCAGUAAGGUUACUUCCAACUUGGGAAAAAUGAUCUUGAAAGAGGAGAUGGAAAAGUCAUUGCCUAUCCGGAGGAAAACCCGCUCCCUGCCUGACCGGACGCCCUUCCAUACCUCCAUGCAUGCAGGGACCUCCAAGUCGUCUUCUCUCCCCGCUUAUGGCAGGACCACCCUGAGCCAGCUACAGUCCACAGACUUAAGCCCAUCCGGGAGUGAGACGGGAAGCCCAGGCCUGCCGGUGAGUGCCAUCUGGAGGAGAACCUUCAAAGAGCCGGAAGCCAUGGUCGGCAGGCAGUGUUGGGGGUGGGGGAGUGGGGCUGCAGUUGCCUGGUGAGGAUAAGAGAGGCCCAGGGUAAGGCUGGGAGGUCUCCCGCCCCACUCUGGCUCACUGCGGCUUUGGUCUCCCCAGAACGGAGAGGGCCAGAGGGGGAGGAUGGACCGGGGGAACUCCUUGCCCUGUGUGCUGGAGCAGAAGAUCUAUCCCUACGAAAUGCUGGUGGUGACCACUAAGGGGAGAACCAAGUUGCCUCGAGGUGUGGACCGGAUGAGGCUGGAGAGGCAUCUGUCGGCGGAGGACUUCUCAAGGGUGUUUUCCAUGUCCCCAGAGGACUUCAGCAAGCUGGCUCUGUGGAAGCGGAAUGAACUCAAGAAGAAGGCCUCUCUCUUCUGAUCGCCCCCUCCCUCUCCGUGACUGAGCCCUGCCACUUCAGGGCUCUGGAGCUGGGGUCACCAGACCCCCAAAGCAUCAUCUCUUGGGGGAGCAGGGAGGUGGGGCCGCGGUAGGGUUGGCUCCCUUCCCCAGGUCCGGGGAGAGCCAGGACCUCUGCAGCCCUGGGUGGUGGGACUUGGACUUCUUCUCCAGAGGAGCAGGGGCCGCCUUCUCUCGCCGUGGGCCUCACUGCAUGGGCAAACCCCGUCUGGACUCCAGCACACACAGAGUUAAUGUUUGCGCCCUUUCCCUGCCCACACCCCAGUGAAGGUCCCCAGAAGAGAAGGAAAGCGGACAGGGAGCUUGGUGCUCAGGCUGUCGCUGCCUUGGCCACUGAGGGUGGAACCCUGGGGCCCCCUAGGGGGAGGGGGAGCUUGGGAAGCAGCUGGGCGGUGGGCGAGCUGGUGGGGGCCCCUGGGACUCUGGGAGCCCAUGUGCGCCCCUCCUUACCUCACCGUGGACAGCUCCCCACACACCUGGGCCUCUGGCUUCUCUGACUCCAGCAGGAGCAGGCUUGGGCUCAGCCUCCAGCAGGGAGGCCACCCUGCGCUCCAGCCUCACUCUGUCCUCUUCUUUCAACCCCUAAGCUUCAAAGCCUCUUGCUCCAGCCCCGUGGCUUCCCCAGAAGCCUUGGCUUUGAGUGGAGAUGUUGCCUAUACAGAACCCCAGCUCACUAUCAGCCUUCAGGCAAAGUCAGCUAGAAUCCUACCUUCUAGCACUCAGGUCCUGGGCGGAACCCGGGCCUUCAGGCUCCCUUGGUUGGGACCAAGAGGCCAGGCUGUGUCCUGGCUACCAGGUCCUGCCCACCCCCAUACCUCCCCAAUGUGCUCUCUGAAGAAUGUAACUUAUUGGGGCCCCCCCCAGCUGCUCUCUGCACCUAAUCCUCUGCCCUAUCCUAAUCACACACCCAGCUUUUAUUCUCUACAAAUACAUAUGUGUAUAUAAUUAUAUAUAUAUAUUUUU